CAAAAACCAAUACACAGAAGAAAAAUGAAAGAAACUGAAAAUGGAGGAAACAGCAACCAAAACGCCUGUUGACUGGAGAAUGUUUGUGCCCAUGUGGUCCAGGCACAUGCGAGACUGCUGACCUCCGCCCAGCCCGUUGUCCUCCACCCAGCCCGUCAUCCUCUGCCCAGCCCGUCGUCCUCCAACCAGCCCACCGUCCUCCGCUUUCAGAAACACACAGCUCACUGCCUCAAGCUUGGGCUGGCAUCAGGCUGGCAGCCAGCAGUGGGAGGGGUCAGCAUGUGAAGAGACAUCAAAGAUUUCACUGCUCGAACCCAUGUCAGGAGCUGAAUGACCACGCCCCAAGCCAGUCAAGUGUUUAGAACGGAGCCAUAGUCUGAUGGGUGUUUCUGUGGAGGCCUCUCCUGCAGUUCUCUUGAACCUGGCCUGUUGUGUCUCUAUUCCACCUGGUCCCUUGAGAAUCCUCCAGAAGCCAGAUGACUCCUGCGUCCGUCUCCUUCUGUGCUCCAGUCCCCCUCCCUGAGGGCAGCCUAUUGACCAGGUUGCAAGAAGAACCCAGGCUGACUUUCUCUCCAUGGG